rnacentral:rRNA from 1 species
UACGUAGGGGGCUAGCGUUGUCCGGAAUCAUUGGGCGUAAAGAGCGUGUAGGCGGCUCGGUAAGUCCGCUGUGAAAGUCCAGGGCUCAACCCUGGAAUGCCAGUGGAAACUGUCGAGCUAGAGUCCGGAAGAGGUGAGUGGAAUUCCUGGUGUAGCGGUGAAAUGCGCAGAUAUCAGGAGGAACACCAAUGGCGAAGGCAGCUCGCUGGGACGGUACUGACGCUGAGACGCGAAAGCGUGGGGAGCAAACAGG